rnacentral:rRNA from 1 species
GUGCUUCGUGGUAAGACCAAUGCUUUUCUUGACUCUUCAAAGGUCUUGGAAUAAGGGGUGGGUAAGGACGGCGCCGGCCGCCGCGGAAUACCGGCGCCCCAAGUGGUAGUCGCUUUUAUUGGGCCUAAAACGUCCGUAGCCGGUCUGGCAAUUCGUGGGUAAAUCUACCAGCUCAACUGGCUGAAUUCUGGGAGCACGGCCAGACGUGGGACCGGGAGAGGUGUGGGGUACUCUCAGGGUAGGGGUAAAAUCCUGUCAUCCUGAGAGGACCGCCUGUUGCCAAGGCGCCACACUAGAACGGAUCCUACGGUCAGGGACGAAGCCUAGGGGCACGAACCGGAUUAGAUACCCGGGUAGUCCUAGGUGUAAACGCUGUGGACUUGAUGUUGGGGGCGCUCCGAGCGCACUCAGUGUCUAAGCGAAGGUGAUAAGUCCACUGCCUGGGGAGUACGGUCGCAAGGCUGAAACUUUAAAGGAAUUGGCGGGGGAGCACCGCAACCUGAGGAUUGUGCGGUUUAAUUGGAUUCAACGCCGGAAAACUCACCAUAGCCGACGGACAUAUGAAGGCCAGCGUACGAGCUUGCGGAAUUUGUUCAAGAG